GAUGAACGCUGGCGGCGUGCCUAAUACAUGCAAGUCGAGCGAACAGACGAGGAGCUUGCUCCUCUGACGUUAGCGGCGGACGGGUGAGUAACACGUGGAUAACCUACCUAUAAGACUGGGAUAACUUCGGGAAACCGGAGCUAAUACCGGAUAAUAUAUUGAACCGCAUGGUUCAAUAGUGAAAGACGGUUUUGCUGUCACUUAUAGAUGGAUCCGCGCCGCAUUAGCUAGUUGGUAAGGUAACGGCUUACCAAGGCAACGAUGCGUAGCCGACCUGAGAGGGUGAUCGGCCACACUGGAACUGAGACACGGUCCAGACUCCUACGGGAGGCAGCAGUAGGGAAUCUUCCGCAAUGGGCGAAAGCCUGACGGAGCAACGCCGCGUGAGUGAUGAAGGUCUUCGGAUCGUAAAACUCUGUUAUUAGGGAAGAACAAAUGUGUAUGUAACUAUGCACGUCUUGACGGUACCUAACCAGAAAGCCACGGCUAACUACGUG
rnacentral:rRNA from 1 species